rnacentral:rRNA from 1 species
GACGAACGCUGGCGGCGUGCUUAACACAUGCAAGUCGAACGGAAAGGCCCUGCUUUUGUGGGGUGCUCGAGUGGCGAACGGGUGAGUAACACGUGAGUAACCUGCCCUUGACUUUGGGAUAACUUCAGGAAACUGGGGCUAAUACCGGAUAGGAGCUCCUGCUGCAUGGUGGGGGUUGGAAAGUUUCGGCGGUUGGGGAUGGACUCGCGGCUUAUCAGCUUGUUGGUGGGGUAGUGGCUUACCAAGGCUUUGACGGGUAGCCGGCCUGAGAGGGUGACCGGCCACAUUGGGCUUGAGGUACGGCCCGGACUCCUACGGGAGGCAGCGGUGGGGAAUAUUGCACAAUGGGCGGAAGCCUGAUGCAGCAACGCCGCGUGCGGGAUGACGGCCGUCGGGUUGUAAACCGCUUUCGCCUGUGACGAAGCGUGAGUGACGGUAAUGGGUAAAGAAGCACCGGCUAACUACGUG